rnacentral:rRNA from 1 species
UACGUAGGGUGGCAAGCGUUGUCCGGAUUUAUUGGGUUUAAAGGGUGCGUAGGCGGCUUUGUAAGUCAGUGGUGAAAUAUGGCAGCUCAACUGUCAGGGUGCCAUUGAUACUGCGGAGCUUGAGUACAGAUGAGGUAGGCGGAAUUGACGGUGUAGCGGUGAAAUGCUUAGAUAUCGUCAAGAACACCGAUAGCGAAGGCAGCUUACUAGGCUGUAACUGACGCUGAGGCACGAAAGUGUGGGGAUCAAACAGG